rnacentral:rRNA from 1 species
CAGUAGCCGCGGGAACACAGAGGGUGCAAGCGUUAAUCGGAAUUACUGGGCGUAAAGCGUGCGUAGGCGGCUUCUUAAGUCGGAUGUGAAAUCCCUGAGCUUAACUUAGGAAUUGCAUUCGAUACUGGGAAGCUAGAGUAUGGGAGAGGAUGGUAGAAUUCCAGGUGUAGCGGUGAAAUGCGUAGAGAUCUGGAGGAAUACCGAUGGCGAAGGCAGCCAUCUGGCCUAAUACUGACGCUGAGGUACGAAAGCAUGGGGAGCAAACAGGAUUAGAUACCCCUGUAGUCCCUGUCUCUUAUAC